AUUGCUCGACAUCUCUUCCUCCCUGCGGUGAUUCAAACUGGUUUGCUUGUGAAGCUGUUUCAUCUUGUGGUUAAAAACAAAACACAACGCUACCGUGUGUUUUUGACCGAGGAAUGUUUUGGGUAACUGCAAAAUAGAUACUUUCUUUUCUCUUUUUAAUCACACGAUCUUUUUCUGCCUUUUCUGAUGCACAGUGCGAAUGAAUGCAGAUGAUUAUUGUUAUAGAGAUGGAACACGAACACUCAACAGAAAGCGUGAAAUUGAAGGUACUCUGCCCCCGCCAUGGAUGCCACUUUUUCUAUCUUUCUAUCGAUCUUU
rnacentral:lncRNA from 1 species